rnacentral:rRNA from 1 species
AUUGAACGCUGGCGGCAGGCCUAACACAUGCAAGUCGAACGAGUGGCGGACGGGUGAGUAAUGUAUGGGGAUCUGCCUGAUGGAGGGGGAUAACUACUGGAAACGGUGGCUAAUACCGCAUACCAUCGGAUGUACCCAGAUGGGAUUAGCUAGUUGGUGGGGUAAAGGCUCACCAAGGCGACGAUCCCUAGCUGGUCUGAGAGGAUGAUCAGCAACACUGGGACUGAGAAACGGCCCAGACUCCUACGGGAGGCAGCAGUGGGGAAUAGUGCACAAUGGGCGAAAGCCUGAUGCAGCCAUGCCGCGUGUAUGAAGAAGGCCUUAGGGUUGUAAAGUACUUUCAGCGGGGAGGCGUUACCCGCAGAAGAAGCACCGGCUAACUCCGUGCCAGCAGCCGCGGUAAUAC